ACUCCUACGGGAGGCAGCAGUGGGGAAUCUUGCGCAAUGGGCGAAAGCCUGACGCAGCGACGCCGCGUGCGGGAUGACGGCCUUCGGGUUGUAAACCGCUUUCGGCAGGGACGAAAUGACGGUACCUGCAGAAGAAGCCCCGGCUAACUACGUGCCAGCAGCCGCGGUAAUACGUAGGGGGCAAGCGUUGUCCGGAUUUAUUGGGCGUAAAGAGCUCGUAGGCGGUUCAGUAAGUCGGGUGUGAAAAAUCUGGGCUCAACCCAGUGGAGCACCCGAUACUGCUGUGACUAGAGUCCGGUAGGGGAGUGUGGAAUUCCUGGUGUAGCGGUGAAAUGCGCAGAUAUCAGGAGGAACACCGACAGCGAAGGCAGCACUCUGGGCCGGUACUGACGCUGAGGAGCGAAAGCAUGGGGGAGCAAACAGGAUUAGAUACCCUGGUAGCACAGAG
rnacentral:rRNA from 1 species